CAUGCCAAUACCUACAGUAGAGAUCCAUAUCAGGGCAGGUUAUCUCCAUGCCAGUAACUACAGUAGAGAUCCAUAUCAGGGCAGGUUAUCUCCAUGCCAAUACCUACAGUAGAGAUCCAUAUCAGGGCAGGUUAUCUCCAUGCCAGUAACUACAGUAGAGAUCCAUAUCAGGGCAGGUUAUCUCCAUGCCAGUAACUACAGUAGAGAUCCAUAUCAGGGCAGGUUAUCUCCAUGCCAGUAACUACAGUAGAGAUCCAUAUCAGGGCAGGUUAUCUCCAUGCCAAUACCUACAGUAGAGAUCCAUAUCAGGGCAGGUUAUCUCCAUGCCAGUAACUACAGUAGAGAUCCAUAUCAG